AGCAGCCGCGGUAAUUCCAGCUCCAAUAGCGUAUAUUAAAGUUGUUGCAGUUAAAAGCUCGUAGUUGAAUUUCGGGAUUGACGUAAUGGUCGUGCCUUAAGGGGUAUGAACUGUUACUGUGGAUUUCUCACCUUCUGGAGAAUCUUGAUGUCCUUAAUUGGGUGUCUUGUGGAUCCAGGACCUUUACCUUGAAAAAUUAGAGUGUUUAAAGCAGGCAUUUUGCUCGAAUACAUUAGCAUGGAAUAAUAGAAUAGGACGGCAUGGUUCUAUUUUGUUGGUUUCUAGGAUCACCGUAAUGAUUAAUAGGGAUAGUUGGGGGCAUUAGUAUUCAAUUGUCAGAGGUGAAAUUCUUGGAUUUAUUGAAGACUAACUACUGCGAAAGCAUUUGCCAAGGAUGUUUUCAUUAAUCAAGAACGAAAGUUAGGGGAUCGAAGACGAUCAGAUACCGUCGUAGUCUUAACCAUAAACUAUGCCGACUAGGAAUCAGACGAUGUUAAUUUUUAAUGUACUCGUUUGGCUA
rnacentral:rRNA from 1 species